rnacentral:rRNA from 1 species
UACGAGGGGGCUAGCGUUGUUCGGAAUUCCUGGGCGUAAAGGGCGCGUAGGCGGCGUGUCAAGUCAGGCGUGAAAGCCCCCGGCUCAACCGGGGAGGGUGGCUGGAAACUGUCGUUCUUGAGGGCGAGAGAGGAGGGUGGAAUUCCUGGUGUAGCGGUGAAAUGCGUAGAGAUCAGGAGGAACACCCGUGGCGAAGGCGGCCCUCUGGCUCGACCCUGACGCUGAGGCGCGAAAGCGUGGGGAGCGAACGGG